rnacentral:rRNA from 1 species
UACGAAGGGGGCUAGCGUUGUUCGGAUUAACUGGGCGUAAAGCGCACGUAGGCGGUUUGUUAAGUCAGAGGUGAAAUCCCGGAGCUCAACUCCGGAACUGCCUUUGAUACUGGCAAGCUAGAGUCCGGAAGAGGUAAGUGGAACUCCUAGUGUAGAGGUGGAAUUCGUAGAUAUUAGGAAGAACACCAGUGGCGAAGGCGGCUUACUGGUCCGGAACUGACGCUGAGGUGCGAAAGCGUGGGGAGCAAACAGG